UAGGGAAUAUUGGGCAAUGGCCGAGAGGCUGACCCAGCCAUGCCGCGUGCAGGAAGAAGGCCUUCUGGGUUGUAAACUGCUUUUAUCUAGGAAGAAAACGCCCUUGCGAGGGUAACUGACGGUACUAGAUGAAUAAGCACCGGCUAACUCCGUGCCAGCAGCCGCGGUAAUACGGAGGGUGCAAGCGUUGUCCGGAUUUAUUGGGUUUAAAGGGUGCGUAGGCGGCCCGUUAAGUCAGUGGUGAAAUCCCAGGGCUCAACCCUGGAACUGCCAUUGAUACUGACGGGCUUGAGUUCGGUUAAGGCGGGCGGAACUGGUGGUGUAGCGGUGAAAUGCAUAGAUACCACCAAGAACCCCGAUUGCGUAGGCAGCUCGCUGAGCCGAAACUGACGCUGAGGCACGAAAGCGUGGGGAGCGAACA
rnacentral:rRNA from 1 species